UUUUACCAACCAGUUGCAGGCUGGCUUGGAUUUAAUACUCUCAUCCCUUCCCCAUCCCCUUGCAGUCUGCAGCCCUCCAGCCUCCAGCCACCACCUCCCCUCUGCCUGGACUGCACUAGUGUGGACUUGGCCAAAGCGUGUCUGCCUGUCCAGCCAGUGCAUCACAGAGCAGGUGCAGAAUCGGCCAGCACAAUGCCAGAACCGUAAGUAGCAGUCCUUCCCUUUGCCUUUUGCUGAACUCCCCUAAGCUUCAGGCUUCUCAGGAGAGCUGUGGGAGAGACCUGACGCUACUUGGACCAACAGCAGGGUUUGAAUG